AGAUGGAUUGGUGCCUUCGGGAACUCUGAGACAGGUGCUGCAUGGCUGUCGUCAGCUCGUGUUGUGAAAUGUUGGGUUAAGUCCCGCAACGAGCGCAACCCUUAUCCUUGUUUGCCAGCGAGUAAUGUCGGGAACUCCAGGGAGACUGCCGGUGAUAAACCGGAGGAAGGUGGGGACGACGUCAAGUCAUCAUGGCCCUUACGAGUAGGGCUACACACGUGCUACAAUGGCGCAUACAGAGGGCAGCCAACUUGCGAAAGUGAGCGAAUCCCAAAAAGUGCGUCGUAGUCCGGAUUGGAGUCUGCAACUCGACUCCAUGAAGUCGGAAUCGCUAGUAAUCGUGGAUCAGAAUGCCACGGUGAAUACGUUCCCGGGCCUUGUACACACCGCCCGUCACACCAUGGGAGUGGGCUGCAAAAGAAGUAGGUAGUUUAACCUUCGGGGGGACGCUUACCACUUUGUGGUUCAUGACUGGGGUGAAGUCGUAACAAGGUAGCGCUAGGGGAACCUGGCGCUGGAUCACCUCCUUAUGCGAUGAU
rnacentral:rRNA from 1 species